AACUAAGUUUGUUAUUGGUAUGAGCUUUUGUGUGCAUGCACGAAUUUUCGUGUGCAUGUACCUGAAGAAGUGUGCUUGCACACAAAAGCUCAUACCAAUAACAAACUUAGUUGG